rnacentral:rRNA from 1 species
AACGAACGCUGGCGGCAGGCUUAACACAUGCAAGUCGAACGCGUGUAGCAAUACACGAGUGGCGCACGGGUGAGUAACGCGUGGAUAUCUGCCUUUUAGUUCGGAAUAACUCCGGGAAACUGGAGCUAAUACCGGAUGGUUCCUACGGGAUAAAGAUUUAUCGCCAAAAGAUGAGUCCGCGUACGAUUAGCUAGUUGGUGGGGUAAUGGCCCACCAAGGCGACGAUCGUUAGCUGGUCUGAGAGGACGAUCAGCCACACUGGGACUGAGACACGGCCCAGACUCCUACGGGAGGCAGCAGUGGGGAAUAUUGGACAAUGGGGGCAACCCUGAUCCAGCCAUGCCGCGUGAGUGAUGAAGGCCUUCGGGUUGUAAAGCUCUUUUGGCGGGGACGAUGAUGACGGUACCCGCAGAAUAAGCCCCGGCUAACUUCGUGCCAGCAGCCGCGGUAACAC